rfam:Marinomonas mediterranea MMB-1, complete genome.
AAGAGCCGUAUGACGGGAGACUGUCACGUACGGUUCUGUGAGCAGCUUGGGGGCGAAACUCCCCCUUGCUGACUCGAC